AUGGGUUUGUUGCCAGAACACAGGUGUCAAGAAAACCACCAAUAAAUCAAAGGCAAAAAUGGAAAAGGAAAAGACUCACAUCAACAUUGUGGUCAUUUGGACACAUAAAUUCCAACAAGUCUACCACUACUGGCCAUUUGAUCUAGCAGAUGUGGUGGAAUCAACAAAAGAACCAUUGAAAAAUUUGAGGAGACUGCUCAGAUGGGGAAGGGUUCCUUCCAGUAUGCCUGAGUCUUGGAUAAACUGAAAGCUGAAUGUGAGUGUGUUUUCAGCAUUGAUAUCUCUCUGUGGAAAUUCAAAACCAGCAAGUAUUAUGUGACCAUCAUUGAUGUCCCAGGAUAGAGACUUUAUCAAAACAUAAUUAUAGGCACAUCUCAGGCUGACUGUGCUGUCCUGAUUGUUGCUUGCCAGUGUUGGUGAGUUUGAAGCAGGAUGUCUACAAAAUUGGUGGCAUUGGUACUAUCCCUGUGGGCCAAGUGGAGACUGGCAUUCUCAAACCUGGCAUGGUGGUCACCUUUGCUACAGUCCAACAUUACAACUGAAGUAAAGUCUGUUGAAAUGCACCAUGAAGCUUGAGUGAAGCUCUUCCUGGGGACAGUGUGGGCUUCAAUAUCUAGAAUAUGUCUGUCAAAGGUGUUCACCGUGGCAAUGUGGCUGGUGAUAGCAAAAAUGAUAAAAAAUGGAAGCUGCUGGCUUUUACAGCUCAGGUGAUUAUCCUCAACCAUCCAGGCCAAAUCAAUGCUGGUUAUGCACCUGUGCUGGAUUGUCACCCAGCUCAUACUGUUUGCAAAUUUGCUGAGCUGAAGGAGAAGAUUGAUUGUUGCUCUAGGAAAAAGCUGGAAGAUGGCCCAAAGU